GCAUAGACCAUGCACACAGACAGUACCAUUAGACCACUACCAGCUACAGAGAGUUCAUUACUACACACACACUUGAAGUUGAACUGAGGUUGGUGAUAGCACUUGGAGCUGCUGCAGGGAAUGACAAGACUGGGAGUAAGGUUCUAUAAAACAGCCCCUGGUCGUGAAAUGGAAUAAGCAAGAGUGCUAGGUACAAGAGCCAAAGUCCUCUGGGGCAGUAGGCAAAAAUAUCUCUGCCAAACGGAUCUACAUCUUAAAAUUUUGAAGCCUGACUUGAUAGCAGGCAUCUUGAAGAUUGGUUGUUAGGUAGGAAUAGAACUGUCCCUUGCUUCAUCACAGUAUUACAUUCUAUCGUGAUCAACAUAUGACAUCAAUUCACUGGACAGAGUGAUAUCUAACGGGAGGCGAUCCUUGCCGACCUUGGCUGCGAUGUAGGAUGAAGGGUUCUCGGCGAAGGUACCGUACCCUGUCAGCUGACGUCUUCGUCUCGCGUCCGGAAGCCUCUCUUCAACAGCAACAAGAACGUCUCUGGUGGUUCGGUAAAUUCAUCCACAUGCGGACUGGAUUCCCCCUUUCCUUUACUGGUAGAUGCUACCACAUAGACCUCAUAAAGCGUAGCUGGC